rnacentral:rRNA from 1 species
GCAAGUCGCACGGGCAGCAACGUCAGUGGCGGACGGGUGAGUAUCGCGUAGGAAUGUAUCCUGAGGUGGGGGACAACCCUGGGAAACUGGGGCUAAUACCGCAUAUGGACUGAGGUCCAAAGCCGUGAGGCGCCUUGGGAGCAGCCUGCGUCCGAUUAGGUAGUUGGUGGGGUAAAGGCCUACCAAGCCUGCGAUCGGUAGCUGGUCUGAGAGGACGAUCAGCCACACUGGGACUGAGGCACGGCCCAGACUCCUCCGGGAG